rnacentral:piRNA from 1 species
UACCCCAAAUAGAGGACCAGUCCUGGUGAU